UCAAGCUACUAAGGGCGCAAGGUGGAUGCCUUGGUGCCAGGAGGCGAUGAAAGACGUGGUUAGCUGCGAUAAGCUUCGGGGAGCCGCUAAACAGGCUUAGAUCCGGGGAUUUCUGAAUGGGGAAACCCGGUCCGUGUCAUGACGGAUCAUCUGCAACUGAAUUCAUAGGUUGCUGAAGCGAACGAGGGGAACUGAAACAUCUAAGUACCCUCAGGAAAAGAAAACGACAGUGAUUCCCUAAGUAGUGGCGAGCGAACGGGGAAGAGCCUAAACCGAUUGUGUGUGAUAGCCUGCAAGCGUUGCAUAGUCGGGGUUGCGGAGCUCCAUUAGAGAGGAUUGCAGUUUUCUCGGAAAGUUACAAAAUCUGUUUAUAGUCGAAAUCGUUGGAAAGCGAUGUCACAGAGGGUGAUAGCCCCGUAAACGAAAUGAACAGAUCUUUCUGAAUGGAGUUUCCAAGUACUGCGGGACACGAGAAAUCCCGCAGGAAACUAGGGGGACCAUCUCCUAAGGCUAAAUACUACCUGGCAACCGAUAGUGAACUAGUACCGUGAGGGAAAGGUGAAAAGCACUCCGAAAGGAGAAUGAAAUAGUACCUGAAACCGUGCGCCUACAAGGUGUGGAAGGACCAGGGAUAGGGCUUGCCUUAUCCGGUCUAACUGCGUGCCUUUUGUAUAAUGAGUCAGCGAGUUACUCUACGUAGCGAGGUUAAGCCGACAGGUGGAGCCGUAGCGAAAGCGAGUCUUAAUAGGGCGAUUUAGUUGCGUGGAGUAGACCCGAAGCCAAGUGAUCUAUCCAUGGCCAGGGUGAAGCGCAUGUAACAGUGCGUGGAGGCCCGAACCGGUGUGAGUUGAAAAUCGCUCGGAUGAGCUGUGGAUAGGGGUGAAAGGCCAAUCAAACUUGGAAAUAGCUGGUUCUCCCCGAAAUAUAUUUAGGUAUAGCCUCGCAACUUUAAGUAUCGGAGGUAGAGCACUGAAUGGGCUAGGGGUCUUACCGGACUACCAACCCCAAUCAAACUCCGAAUGCCGAUAACUUCAAUUGCGGGAGUCAGACUAUGGGAGAUAAGUUCCGUGGUCGAGAGGGAAACAGCCCAGACCGCCNNCCAGGAGGUUGGCUUAGAAGCAGCCAUCCUUUAAAGAAAGCGUAAUAGCUCACUGGUCAAAUGAGUCUGCGCCGAAAAUUUACCGGGGCUCAAGCAUGUAACCGAAGCUGCGGAUUCGCACCGCAAGGUGGGAGUGGUAGGGGAGCAUUCUAUCGUAGGUUGAAGCCGGAUCGUAAGGCCCGGUGGACGAAAUAGAAGAGAUUAUGCUGACAUAAGUAGCGAUAAAGUCUGUGAAAAACAGACUCGCCGAAAACCUAAGGUUUCCUGAGUAAAGUUAAUCUGCUCAGGGUUAGUCGAACCCUAAGCCGAGGCCGUCAGGCGUAGGUGAUGGGAAACAGGUUAAUAUUCCUGUACCACUGGAGAAGCGUUAUCAACAAUGGGGUGACGUAGAAGGGUAGGCCAUCCGGGUGUUGGAUGUCCCGGUUCAAGCUUGUAGGAGGAGAUUCCAGGCAAAUCCGGAAUUUUAUUAAACUCUGAGAAGCGAUGUGGAGAGAUUUAUCUCGUAAACUGGUUGAUCCCAUGCUACCAAGAAAAACCUCUAGUGAGUUUCUUUGGUGAUCGUACCGUAAACUGACACAGGUAGGUAAGGAGAAUAUCCUAAGGCGCUUGAGUGAUCUCUCGUUAAGGAACUCGGCAAAAUAACACCGUAACUUCGGAAGAAGGUGUGCCUCAUUAGCGUGAAGCGAUUAGCACGUGAAGCGCGAGGAGGUUGCAGUGAAACGGCCCAAGCGACUGUUUAGCAAAAACACAGGACUCUGCUAAGUCGUAAGACGAUGUAUAGGGUCUGACGCCUGCCCGGUGCCGGAAGGUUAAGGGGAUUUGUUAGCCGCAAGGCGAAGCUUUGAACCGAAGCCCCGGUAAACGGCGGCCGUAACUAUAACGGUCCUAAGGUAGCGAAAUUCCUUGUCGGGUAAGU
rnacentral:rRNA from 1 species